UGGAAGAGAAAAGAAGAGAGAAGGGCCGAUCUGGAUGUGCUCGUUAGUCAUAGACGAAUCACACUUGAAAGGUCAUAUGACUAGAGACACAUUCAGCUUGGCCUGGAUCUCAACGUUUGAGAUUGAAA
rnacentral:pre_miRNA from 14 species